rnacentral:rRNA from 1 species
AUUGAACGCUGGCGGCAGGCCUAACACAUGCAAGUAGAGCGGAGCGGCGGACGGGUGAGUAAUGCCUAGGAAUCUGCCUGGUCGUGGGGGAUAACGUCCGGAUACGGGCGGUAAUCCCGCAUCCUAUCAGAUGAGCCUCGAUGGGAUUAGCUAGUUGGUGGGGUAAAGGCCUACAAAGGCGACGAUCCGUAACUGGGCUGAGAGGAUGAUCGGUCACACUGGAACUGAGACACGGUCCAGACUCCUACGGGAGGCAGCAGUGGGGAAUAUUGGACAAUGGGCGAAAGCCUGAUCCAGCCAUGCCGCGUGUGUGAAGAAGGUCUUCGGAUUGUAAAGCACUUUAAGUUGGGAGGCGUUACCAACAGAAUAAGCACCGGCUAACUCCGUGCCAGCAGCCGCGGUAAUAC